rnacentral:rRNA from 1 species
AACGCUGGCGGCAUGCCUUACACAUGCAAGUCGAACGGCAAGCACGGGGAGACGAAUCCUGGUGGCGAGUGGCGAACGGGUGAGUAAUAUAUCGGAACGUGCCCAGUCGUGGGGGAUAACGUAGCGAAAGCUACGCUAAUACCGCAUACGAUCUAUGGAUGAAAGCGGGGGAUCGCAAGACCUCGCGCGAUUGGAGCGGCCGAUAUCAGAUUAGGUAGUUGGUGAGGUAAAGGCUCACCAAGCCGACGAUCUGUAGCUGGUCUGAGAGGACGACCAGCCACACUGGGACUGAGACACGGCCCAGACUCCUACGGGAGGCAGCAGUGGGGAAUUUUGGACAAUGGGCGCAAGCCUGAUCCAGCAAUGCCGCGUGCAGGAUGAAGGCCUUCGGGUUGUAAACUGCUUUGUACGGAACGAAACGGUGAGCUCUAAUACAGUUUGCUAAUGACAGUACCUGGAGAAUAAGCUCCGGCUAACUCCGUG